GCAAGGCGCUGUCAGAGUACAGACGGCGUCCAGCCAAUCAGAUGAGCGCCACGGCAGUAGCGCUUCCUGAUUGGCUGAAGGGACAUCAGUGACAGGAGUCACGUGAUGUCCCUGCAUUCGUGGGAAGGGGUCUGAUGUGAAAACAUUGGACCCCUUUCAUUAGUCCGGUAUGGCUCGUGUUCGGUUUGUUUUUUUAACAAAGUACGUGGAUUUACCUCUGGACCUCUGGACGCUGGAAGUAUAUAAUGUGCCCGCAAGGAGAUGCCGUCCCAACAAAACGAAACAAGCAUCUCGAAUAAUGACGACCGUCUUAUCAGAGAAACUUGAGCAGAUGGACGCAGCCAUGGCAGCUCGAGAGGAUGCCCGCCUUGAGUGCUUCCUGCAGGCUCAGCAGGACAUGAAUAAUACCCUGAUGGCCCACAUUACUUUGGAUACAAGGGAAUGCAUGAGGGAAAUGCAGUAAUUUCAAACGUCAUUAUUUGAAAAAAAAAUUGCCAUGAGGGAACGUCCACACACAAUGGCACCUCAGCAACCACCUACAAACAUCCCUCAACACUAUCCACACUAUGGCCCUUCAUCCUACUAUGACCAAACCCAACAUCAACACACCCACCCUCAAUUUACCCAUCCUCCACAAACCUACCCUGAAUAUACUCAGCCUCCACAAACCCAUCCUCAAUAUACCCAGCCUCCACAAACCCACCCUCAAUAUACCCAGCCUCCACAAACCCACCGUCAAUAUACCCAUCCUCCACAAACCCACCCUCAACACACCCCACCUGAAUCUGACCAUCCCCCACAUACACAACCACCUCCUGAUAUGGAGACAACUCCUGACUCUCCUGUUUACAGGAUAUUACCUUGAGAGGUUAUUGUUUUUAUUGUUUAUUUCAUUUAAUAUUUGAUAAUGCAAGUGUUUUGCAAACAAUGUUGAUGCAAACUUUUUGAAACCAAGGUUUAUAUUAUAAAAAUGUAUAAGGUCUAUGACCGGUUCUUAA